UCCUACGGGAGGCAGCAGUGGGGAAUUUUGGACAAUGGGGGCAACCCUGAUCCAGCAAUGCCGCGUGAGUGAAGAAGGCCCUCGGGUUGUAAAGCUCUUUUGUCAGGGAAGAAACGGUGAUCUCUAAUAUAGAUUGCUAAUGACGGUACCUAAGAUG
rnacentral:rRNA from 1 species